GUCCUUACCUGGCAGUGGAGAGACCAUGGUCACAAAGGUGGUCACGAAGGGUGAGGCUUAUCCAUUGCACUCCAGGUGUGUUGACCCCUGUGAUUUCCCUAAAUGUAGGAAACUUGACUGCAUAAUUUGUGGUAGUAGGAGAAAAUUGAGAGCCAG